GAUUAUGGCUCAGGAUGAACGCUAGCUACAGGCUUAACACAUGCAAGUCGAGGGGCAGCAUUGGAGUAGCAAUACUCAGAUGGCGACCGGCGCACGGGUGAGUAACACGUAUCCAACCUGCCGCUUACUCGGGGAUAGCCUUUCGAAAGAAAGAUUAAUACCCGAUGGUAUAAAGAGUUCGCAUGUUCUCUUUAUUAAAGAAUUUCGGUAAGCGAUGGGGAUGCGUUCCAUUAGAUAGUUGGCGGGGUAACGGCCCACCAAGUCUACGAUGGAUAGGGGUUCUGAGAGGAAGGUCCCCCACAUUGGAACUGAGACACGGUCCAAACUCCUACGGGAGGCAGCAGUGAGGAAUAUUGGUCAAUGGACGCGAGUCUGAACCAGCCAAGUAGCGUGAAGGAUGACUGCCCUAUGGGUUGUAAACUUCUUUUAUAAGGGAAUAAAGUGAGGGACGUGUCCCUUUUUGUAUGUACCUUAUGAAUAAGGAUCGGCUAACUCCGUGCCAGCAGCUGC
rnacentral:rRNA from 1 species